GUCUGACUUCCCCUUCUUGCUCUAGUGUAAGGAAGUAGAUCCAGUCUGCUGUAAGGAACUGAGAACCAUUGCUCUAAGUAAUGUAAAUAUUAGCUGUUAUGGAGUAUAUUUACAUCGUUUUUUUACCAUUUAACACCAAAGUUUAAAAAAAAAGUCCUGUUAUAAAUUGGAUAGUCAGGAAGAUGCUUUUUCAUGGGAAAGAGCGGAAGAAAAGGGAAAGAGAGAGAGAGAGAGAGAGAGAGAGAGAGACUUACUUGACUUGACACCACACCCAGCUACACCCACCCCACUCUCCUCCUUAGCACAAAAUCACAGUGUAUACAGGAGACACAGGAAUGGUGGACAGGAGAAUGCUUACUGUACAAGGCACAUCGUCUUCACUGACUUAGCUACUCCCCAGCAUUGCUAGAGAAGUAUAAGCAAGCUCUGCGGAUGGGUUCUAUCCAGCUGUAGUCUUCAGCAUACCACAUCUUCAAUUUUGAUUGAAUUCCUUUAAGACAACCAGGAAAGGCAAUGGGGAGGUUUGGUAGCGAGGAUUCCAGAAUGGAAGCAAGGGUUUUAGAAAAUUAUUAAUGAACUAACAGAUCAGCCUGGAAGCCUCGGCUUGGAGCUGCACACAUUAGCUCAUUUCUGCCAGGAAUGCUUUCUUAUUAUCACUAUGUUGUACCACAUCACCCAGAUCGGGCUAUAGCACAAGGAUUCCUUACCCAGAGGCCUUCAACUUUUCCUCUACUUUUGUCUUCCUUACAGUUCAUCCACGUUUUGAGCCAAAGUACUGGUUUAGUGUGAAGCAAUAACCACAUGGUCCCUCCUGUUCUGUAUUGUCAUUUGAGAAAAAUAGCACCAAAUGUGAGCGUUGCAUUAGGUAAUUCACCACUGGAGAGAACAUUUCAAAAGCAGCCACAGAGAUACAAAUCCAAGCCUUUAGAAAACAGAUCUGAAGAGCAUCAAAUAAGUCAAUUUGGAAGAUUAUAGGUGCUGGGAAAUAGCAGUGCUAAUGUAUCUAAAUCUCUCUGAAAUUACCAUCUGUUUAGACUACGUAUUAAUUUCUCUGGAACCACUGAGCAAUGCUUCAUUUCCUAAAUAAACUCCAAGGAUGAAAUGCCAGUGUGUGCUCAAUCUACCACCAUGGUUAAUCUCACCUGGAAAUCUUAUUGAAAUUUGAUUCUCUUGGUGGCAGUGGUGGGAGGUGGUGGGGCUGUUGAGGUAGCUGGAUAAUGAGGAUUCUGCCCUCAUGAGUGGGCUACUUCAGUUGUAGAUUAAUGAGUUAUUUAGUGAGAGAGGAAGUGACUCUAGCACACAAGCAAACUUUUCCUGAGUAGCUUUUAUUAUCUUCUUAAGGGAUGCUCUCUAUCAUGACAGGGUGAAAAGCAAGAAGACUGGCCAGGUACUAAUGUCAUGCUUUUGGACUUCUUAAUAUCCCAAACUGGGAGAAAUCUUUUCAUUAUUCAUACAGUUUGAGGUAGUUUGUUACAGCAAACAGACAAGUGAAUUAAGAUGCAAGUCUAUAUUUUAAAUAACUAAAGCUAUAAAACCAGAUACAGUUUGAAUAAAACCUGAUAACUGAUUGAAGUUUGUUGUCUUUUGUAAAAAAAAAAACAAAACAAAAAUAAAAACAAAAAAACCC
rnacentral:lncRNA from 1 species